rnacentral:rRNA from 1 species
UCCUACGGGAGGCAGCAGUAGGGAAUAUUGCAAAAUGGGCGCAAGCCCGAUGCAGCAACGCCGCGUGCGCGAUGAAGGCCUUCGGGUCGUAAAGCGCUUUUCGGAGGGAUGAGGAAGGACAGUACCUUCGGAAGAAGUCUCGGCUAACUACGUGCCAGCAGCCGCGGUAAAACGUAGGAGGCAAGCGUUAUCCGGAUUUACUGGGCGUAAAGCGCGUGCAGGCGGCAGAGCAAGUUGGAUGUGAAAGCUCCCGGCUCAACUGGGAGAGGUCGUUCAAUACUGCUCGGCUAGAGGAUGGUAGAGGGAGGUGGAAUUCCGGGUGUAGUGGUGAAAUGCGUAGAUAUCCGGAGGAACACCAGUGGCGAAAGCGGCCUUCUGGACCAAUCCUGACGCUCAGACGCGAAAGCUAGGGUAGCAAACGGGAUUAGAUACCCCAGUAGUCU